rnacentral:rRNA from 1 species
UACGAAGGGGGGCUAGCGUUUGUUCGGAAUUACUGGGCGUAAAGCGCGCGCAGGCGGUCUUCCAAGUCAGUGGUGAAAGCCCCGGAGCUCAACUCCGGAACUGCCAUUUGAAACUGUGAGACUUGAGGAUGAGAGAGGUGAGUGGAAUUCCCAGUGUAGAGGUGAAAUUUCGUAGAUAUCAGGAGGAACACCGGUGGCGAAGGCGGGUCUCUGGACCGAUACUG